ensembl:lncRNA
CAUAUAUGUAGCUUUAUAUGUAUGUGUACACUUUUUGCCUAACAAAUUUAUUGAUAUUUAACCACACAAAGCAAAGGUAGUGAAAUAAAACUAGAAUGUAAACUCUUUACUACAUGGUUUGACAUAUGUUGAACUGUAUAUGCAGUAAUUUAUAACAGAAAUAAUCUUCCCUUCAACUACUUUCUAAGGUCAUUCAUAAUGCAUACACAAAUGUGCACACCUAUUGUCAUGUGCACAUACACAAACAUAUACAUACAUGUGCAAAAAUAUACACAAAACUGGAUUUUAACAAUGUGUUUUGUAACUGUUAUAGUAACUCCUAUUUUGGUCAUACUGAUUGUAAAAAUAAAUAGGGAAAAUGAAAAUUUUAAAGAAUUGCAGGAAGUUCAUGGUAAUUACGUAUAUUUCAGGAAAUUACAGUGGCCUAAGGAGGGAGGAAUGCUUCCAUCUGGUGUUUAUAAAUUGUUUCUAGGCAUUAAGGUCGGUUGAUUAGAGUAUGAAGUAACCAAGCUAAUGGGCAACUUCAUUCAUUUGCAGGGUUUUAGUGGGGGCACGCAACCUAUUUAUUGCCUCACAAAUCAAUGCUGUUAUCAUUAAUGGGUCAGCAUGAAAUUAGCAGUUAUUCAAAACUCACAGGUAUCAUGCUGAGAGACGUUACAGUAAAAGCAUGGUACCAGGUGCUCCCUUAGUAAAUUUAAGCUGCAAUCUUUUAGGAGAUGAGAGGAAAAUCUCCCAUGGGAGUGGCAAUGCCACCUGUCAUCCUGAUCUGCCACUGGAUUCACAGUUGAGUCCUAUGGAGAAUGGAAAGUUAGGCAGAGAUAGGUCACGUAUCCUUAGGCAAGCUCAUGUGGUAGUCACUGUGGCGAGCGUCAUGAGAACAGACCUCAUUAGCGGGCAAUGUCUAAAAGGUACAGUGCACUUUUAGGGGCUGCAGUUCAGACCAGGAGGGUCCCCCUUUGGCUGUUGAAGGGCAUGUAGGAUUCUGUACAUCCCUGGACCCUAAUAUAUAUAACCAUCUGAUAAGGAAGUUAGUUUUAAAUCUUUUGUUUUCAAGAAUGAAGAGUUUUUAAAACAUGUAUUUUGUGGGCUGGAGAUGUAGGUCAGUGGCAGUGUUCGCCUAACACGCACAAGGCCCUGGGUUUGAUUCACAGCGCCACAAAAAACCAAACCAAAACAAAACCCCCAAACAGUAUUUUGCCUGACUUCUCUUUAAAGGGAAUAUGGGUCAUUCUAUGAAAGCUCAUUACUGAGAACCCAGAAGUUACACCUAGGUAUUAGUCAAAAGUCUUUAAAGAGUCACCUCAUGUCAGAUUGCAUGUAUGAUCAACCAGAAACUAAAUCUCAUCAGAAACUCUUCACGCUAUCUGUAUUAUGUAGACAACAGCCAAGACCAUGG